UGGGAUGUUUUUUUGAGGAGACGGCUUGUGGGUGUGCAUGCCAACCGUCAUGCACCAGAGCUUGCCACUCAGGGGUCUUGGGUUUUGGGAUCUC